CUCGGUUUAAGCGGUUUCAUCCGAAGGAACGCCCCAAUGUGUUGCCUCUUACGACAAGCAGGGGAUACUGAGGACCUAUUCGAACCCGGAUCCCCACCGGGCAAUUUGUGUGUGAUUAGCUGUCAGACAAAAUAAUUGACAAAACUUGUUCAACGGACACUAAGCACAUGAUAUAUUGUUAACAUAUCUACGGUUCAACACAAACCGGUUGUCAUGCCCUUAAAGAACGUCAACCACAAUAACUUUGAGCAAAUAAACUUACCAGUCAGACACCACGUUCAACCGAAUGUCCGAUAACAACCGAAUAGCCGAUAACGCGUUUACCCGUGUGAUACCUGGGAAAAAGACUUGUCAUCUAUAAUAUAGAAGAUGAAUUUGAGAAGGUUUUGAUGAAAACUAAACCUGGAAAAUCGUGUGGUAUAGAUCUUCCGUAUGAGGUCCCCAAGUCGAACACCGUUAUAAAAAUUCAACACAAGAUGUCUCUGCUGUACCUUGAUAUUCAAUAUGGCGUAAAGCUAUAAUUUGUAGCUGCAAUAAUGUAGCCCUAUCCAAUUUUUUUUUAUUCUGACGUUUUCGGGAUCAGAGAGGGCUACAUUAUUGCAGUUAAUAAUUUGUCCUUUACUGAAGGACUCAUCCCCCGACCCUCUGCUUCCUAUGAACUAUCGAGGAAUAAGCCUUCUUUCUGUUGUAACCAAAAUUAAUCGUUUUAUUCUGAACAAGGCUGGUUACGUACUUA